CAGGACACGUGGCUGAGAAAGAGAAGGGAAGGUGGAGCCGCCAUGUUGAACAUGUCUAGUCCCUAGUUCCUGCUGGUAUUCACCAGUGCAAGCUCCCAGCUUGCUUGCCUAUGUCUGCAGCUUGACUUUACAGGCUGCUCUUCGGUAGAAAAUGAUUUGGGGCUGCUUUUCCUUAAAAAGAAAAGCCUUACGAGGACUCCCAUACCCUUACUAUCUGCCUAAGUGAUUUCUUCUUAACUCCUGUAUCGUUUUGCACUGACCGUACCAUCUCAAGGGACUCAGUAAAUGAAAAAAAGAUAGUGACAUUGCCAGAAUGUGGGUAAUGAACAUUGCCAUUCUUUCCUGAUUCUGCACCUGGAUUCCAGCAAGUUAUGAGGAUGAAUCUAAAUGAAAUAAAUGGAAGGAAAAAGAGUCCCAGAUGUUUGUAGAGAGCAUGUAUAAUUACACUGAGUAUAAAUGAGAAAAUUCUAGCAGAUACGUACAUUGACUUCUGAAAAGAUAAAGAGGCUUCUGUUUUCUUUAUAAAUAAAAUAUGGCAGCUGUACCCUGGAGAGAUUUUGUCUUCAGAACAACAGAUAUCGUCUCUAGAAUUUAUCAAAAAGAUCAUUUUAGUUGUGUGGUACUGCAGUAAAGGAUGGGAGAAAAAAGAUCAAUGAUAAUGUAUGAUCAUACUGCUAUAGAAAGUGUCAAAUGAAAUGCACAGGAUUAUGCUAAACACAGGAAGAUGCUCAUGCUGAAAUGCACAAGGGGAUGAAGACUCAUUUGGAAGAUAGCAAAUUUGUGUCUCCCAUCUCAUGCCUAAGCUUAUGCAAAAAGGGAGUGAUUUUUCCAACUAUUUAAAUUGAUAUUUUAGUCCCAUUCACAUCUUUUUGAAAUGCAGUGUUGAGUUAGUACAAGUGAAAUGUGUGUUCAGCUUGAUGCCAGUUUGCUUCCUAUGUUUUAAGUUAGAUUUUGAAAAAUUCUACCAACUUGCAUGUAAUUGAAGAAUCCCACA
rnacentral:lncRNA from 1 species